rnacentral:lncRNA from 1 species
CUGAAAAGGAGCCACUCUGGGAACUGCCUGGGAGGCAACCCUUCUCACUACCUAGAAACCAGAAUGAAAGGUCUACAGCAGAGACGGAAGAGAGGAAGUCUCGUCACUUGGACCACCAAAGAACUAAGGUCUCAAGGUCCCUCUACUAUGGUUAAAUCUAUAGUCAAGCAACCCAUCCCAGUGCUUCUGUGGAAUUCCUGCAAGAGGCAGGAGGCGGUUCAGAGAGUCAUCAAAGCCAUUUUCACAAGGUAGACACAGGACUGGGGGAUUAGAGGCUUUCAUGGCCUCACUUGCCAACCUGCACCCCAAGGCUCUGGGUGAGUACCAUUAACUUCUCUCCACUCUCUAUAAUUCCAAACCAAUCUCCACUUUGCAUAUCGACAUGAAAGCCAAUGGCUGUGCCAGCUAAGGUCAGCCGACUCCAAGGAAAAAGCCUCAAGGGGAGGCAGAUAUGGAGACAGGAGCUGGGAAAAGCAGUAGGAGAAACCUCACGCUGGACAUUACGUCUACCAGUGACUCUCUCCCCUACUGCUGCCAGUGCCUGAAGCACCAGGGCAGUUUGUAUCUUCUCAAGGUGUUUCCUCAGGAACCUUCAGAGGAGGUAUUUGGCCACGGCCUCACAAAGUCAGACUCCUGGUCAGAAUGCCUGGAGUGUGUGAACUAGCUGGGAUUCACCUCAUCCACUGUCAGCACCUCAUGUCCUAAAGGCGUCCGGGGUUACUGCUUCUCAGGCGGUGACUCAGGCCUGCAAAGCCGGAAGACAUUUGGCCUUAAACGGGCUCAUUCAGACCGGAAGAGGUGCCACAUGCAGUUUCCAA